UACGUAGGGCGCAAGCGUUGUCCGGAUUUACUGGGCGUAAAGAGCGUGUAGGCGGCCAAGCAGGUCCGUUGUGAAAACUGGAGGCUUAACCUCCAGACGUCGAUGGAAACCGCGUGGCUAGAGUCCGGAAGAGGAGAGUGGAAUUCCUGGUGUAGCGGUGAAAUGCGCAGAUAUCAGGAGGAACACCAACGGCGAAGGCAGCUCGCUGGGACGGUACUGACGCUGAGGCGCGAAAGCGUGGGGAGCGAACAGG
rnacentral:rRNA from 1 species